rnacentral:rRNA from 1 species
GGUUUGUCGCGUCUGCCGUGAAAGUCCGGGGCUUAACCCCGGAUCUGCGGUGGGUACGGGCAGACUAGAGUGCAGUAGGGGAGACUGGAAUUCCUGGUGUAGCGGUGAAAUGCGCAGAUAUCAGGAGGAACACCGAUGGCGAAGGCAGGUCUCUGGGCUGUAACUGACGCUGAGGAGCGAAAGCAUGGGGAGCGAACAGGAUUAGAUACCCUGGUAGUCCAUGCCGUAAACGUUGGGCACUAGGUGUGGGGGACAUUCCACGUUUUCCGCGCCGUAGCUAACGCAUUAAGUGCCCCGCCUGGGGAGUACGGCCGCAAGGCUAAAACUCAAAGGAAUUGACGGGGGCCCGCACAAGCGGCGGAGCAUGCGGAUUAAUUCGAUGCAACGCGAAGAACCUUACCAAGGCUUGACAUGUUCCUGACCGCCGUAGAGAUACGGUUUCCCCUUUGGGGCAGGUUCACAGGUGGUGCAUGGUUGUCGUCAGCUCGUGUCGUGAGAUGUUGGGUUAAGUCCCGCAACGAGCGCAACCCUCGUUCCAUGUUGCCAGCACGUAGUGGUGGGGACUCAUGGGAGACUGCCGGGGUCAACUCGGAGGAAGGUGGGGACGACGUCAAAUCAUCAUGCCCCUUAUGUCUUGGGCUUCACGCAUGCUACAAUGGCCGGUACAAUGGGUUGCGAUACUGUGAGGUGGAGCUAAUCCCAAAAAGCCGGUCUCAGUUCGGAUUGGGGUCUGCAACUCGACCCCAUGAAGU